GAUGGAGACUGUUGGGGAGGAAAAGCGUUCACCUGUCCUUCCCUCUAGGAACUUCCACAAGGCUGGAUAUCUGGUGAAUACUCCUCCAAAAGACCAGCAGCAUGCAAUGGAUCACAAGGCAAAGAGCAGAGCAGCGAGUACAAUGAUGGAGAGCACGAGUGGGGCGGAGUCAGUGACAAGUUACUAUGACAACACAUGAUGGAGGAGUUACAAGGUGACACUGUGGAGUUUGCGGACGACCCAUUGGACGUCUUGCACUGCAAAUAAAGGAACACAAUUAAGAAAUAAUUCGUGAGGGUCAGUUGUUCACUCUGUUGGAUGCUGAUGAUGAUCCACCCAUUGGACGUCAGAUAAAAAUACAAUCGACCUAAGAAACAGACUGAACACCAGCCCCUGGCAUGUAUCAUGAGGGACGCUGUACAGAGAUGUUAGGGCAAGUUCCUUUAAUUAGAUCGAGAUAUUGUAAUUAUUUCCUUCUUCCAGGUUGUCGGUCGCUAAAUGUGCUUAUAGUUGCCAUGGAGAUGGAGAUGGUAAUUGAUGACUGAAGUCAUGUACCUACCUCUCGAUAGAAGGAAACAAGGAUUUGUCAAUAAUUAUAGUACUGUGAUAUACUAUUAUACCAGGGGGCAUGUGAUUCAUAUAUACGGAUGGUCCCAGAGCCACUUUGUAGACUUCAUUGUAAAACAUCACGUGAAUCACUUCCGUUUCCAAUCCUUCUUCCUCUUCUAUCGUAUAUAAUUAUAGAAUGACCACCACAUUACCAUCAUAUUAUUUAUCUACCACACAUUCAAGCUUUAUCCCAUACCCCACUGCACCAUAAACUUUUACACAUCACAUGCAUACCAUAAUUAUUAAACUAUUAACUUAAGUUGCAAAAUUAAUGUUCAUCAGUUACAAUCUUUACUUUUGACAUGAGGAAAACUCCAGAUUGGAACUUUACAACAACUCUAUACACGUGUUUACCAAGUUGUUGGGUAAGAGAGUGUUCAAGAGAUACCUCUAGCUGUUCUUGGACUCCCCAUAUUUCAUGGACUGGUGGGUUAAUUAUUAUGACUCUAGAAGCCAUUAUUUACAAUAUCAUACAAGUUUGCUCCAAAACACUUUCUGUUUGUGUACUUUGUUGCAAUUUCAACAUUGAUAAUGUACUCCAGUUAUUUACAUGUACACACAUGCAUGCACAUGCACACAAAUGUCUGGUGCAAUAUGCUGGAGUCUCACCUCACUAUGUCAGCUGCUGGGGAGAAUGAUCCUCAGAGGGAGAAUAAAACAACACAAUCCAAUAUCCUGAUCCUGACAACAGAAUAUUGAUUUCUAAAUCUUGAUUCAAGUUCACUGUCUGAUCCAAGUUCACUUCUGACAGCAGCAUCAAGUUUCUCCCACAUUUAGAUUAUUUCACUGACAGCAGAAUACUGAUUUCCUCAACUCUCAUUUCUCAACUCUCAUUUCUCAAAUCCUGGCUAUGCCUUUGACGAAGGUUUGCUCCCACUGUUUGGCUGUAGGUCAUGUAAGACGGUCCAUUUGCACUGACUGUGGAAACCCAUUCUUAGUGAAGCGAUCAAAGGUGCGAAGCAGAAGGUCUCGAGGUAUCAUCAUACAGUGUAAAGAUCAAUCUACCUGCUCAAUGAUACAACAC